rnacentral:rRNA from 1 species
GAUGAACGCUGGCGGCGUGCUUAACACAUGCGAGUCGAACGGAAAGGCCCAAGCUUGCUUGGGUACUCGAGUGGCGAACGGGUGAGUAACACGUGGGUGAUCUGCCCUGCACUUCGGGAUAAGCCUGGGAAACUGGGUCUAAUACCGGAUAGGACCACUUCUUGGAUGUUGUGGUGGAAAGUUUUUCGGUGUGGGAUGAGCUCGCGGCCUAUCAGCUUGUUGGUGGGGUAAUGGCCUACCAAGGCGUCGACGGGUAGCCGGCCUGAGAGGGUGUACGGCCACAUUGGGACUGAGAUACGGCCCAGACUCCUACGGGAGGCAGCAGUGGGGAAUAUUGCACAAUGGGCGCAAGCCUGAUGCAGCGACGCCGCGUGGGGGAUGACGGCCUUCGGGUUGUAAACUCCUUUCGCUAGGGACGAAGCUUAUUUUGUGACGGUACCUGGAGAAGAAGCACCGGCUAACUACGUG